rnacentral:rRNA from 1 species
UACGGAGGGGGCUAGCGUUGUUCGGAAUUACUGGCGUAAAGCGCGCGUAGGCGGACCUGCAAGUCGGGGGUGAAAGCCCGAGGCUCAACCUCGGAACUGCCUUCGAUACUGCGGGUCUCGAGUCCGGGAGAGGUGAGUGGAAUUCCUAGUGUAGAGGUGAAAUUCGUAGAUAUUAGGAAGAACACCAGUGGCGAAGGCGGCUCACUGGCCCGGUACUGACGCUGGAGGCGACGAAGCGUGGGGAGCAAACAGG